rnacentral:rRNA from 1 species
GCAGCCGCGGUAAUACGUAGGGGGCAAGCGUUAUCCGGAUUUACUGGGUGUAAAGGGAGCGUAGGCGGCGCGUCAAGUCAGAAGUGAAAGCCCGGGGCUCAACUCCGGGACUGCUUUUGAAACUGUCGUGCUUGAUUUCAGGAGAGGUAAGCGGAAUUCCUAGUGUAGCGGUGAAAUGCGUAGAUAUUAGGAGGAACACCAGUGGCGAAGGCGGCUUACUGGACUGACAAUGACGCUGAGGCUCGAAAGCGUGGGGAGCAAACAGGAUUAGAUACCCC